AUAACGACUCUCGGCAACGGAUAUCUAGGCUCUCGCAUCGAUGAAGAACGCAGCRAAAUGCGAUACUUGGUGUGAAUUGCAGAAUCCCGUGAACCAUCGAGUUUUUGAACGCAAGUUGCGCCCGAAGCCAUUAGGCUGAGGGCACGUCUGCCUGGGSGUCACGC
rnacentral:rRNA from 1 species